rnacentral:rRNA from 1 species
UAAUACGGAGGGUGCAAGCGUUGUUCGGAAUUAUUGGGCGUAAAGAGCGUGUAGGCGGUUCGGUAAGUCAGAUGUGAAAGCCCUGGGCUCAACCCAGGAAGUGCAUUUGAAACUACCAGACUUGAGUACGGGAGAGGAGGGGGGAAUUCCCGGUGUAGAGGUGAAAUUCGUAGAUAUCGGGAGGAAUACCAGUGGCGAAGGCGCCCCUCUGGACCGAUACUGACGCUGAGACGCGAAAGCGUGGGGAGCAAACAGGAUUAGAUACCCUGGUAGUCCACGCCGUAAACGAUGAGCACUAGGUGUAGCGGGUAUUGACCCCUGCUGUGCCGUAGCUAACGCAUUAAGUGCUCCGCCUGGGGACUACGGUCGCAAGACUA